rnacentral:lncRNA from 10 species
CUACCGCGCACCUGGACCGAGGCCCCGCCCCGGGGCUCUGCAGAGCUGCGCGUCCCCGCUCGAGUGCUCGGCCCGUUCAGCCUAGUCCGGGCUGGUGGUCCUGUCAGUCUCUGAGCACCUGUGGAACUUCUGCCCGGCCGUAAAGCUCCAACUCAAAGGGAAGCUCUCUUCUGGGAAGCUUUCCCUGAUCCUGUCUGUUUUUCUGUUGGUUAGAACAGUCCCUGUACUCAGCACACUGUCGUUUUGUUGUCUUCUGUCUCCUCCUUUAGCCUCCUACCUUGCAGGGUUUGGUCUUGUUCCCCUGUGUUCCUGGUGCUCAGCACAGGUCCUGGCACAUACUAGGUGUUCAACAAAUAUUUUCCACUGAAUGAGGCCCUGGGCCCCAAUUUCUCCCUUUGCCCUGAGGCAGAACUGGGAGCCUGGGCCGCUGAUCAGUUUACCUUUUCUUUUGUUCAGAGAAAUCUGCAGGUAAAGACAGGAACCUCAGCUCUGAGGCCCCGAGUAGGGUAGAGGAGGGGGACCGGAUAUGCAGCUCUGAAAGAUACAUCCAGGAUCAGAAGUGGUGGCCAAAAUGGGCCAUGGUCACUACAUCCAAAAAAGGUCUCUGCAAGAGGCAACACCAUUGAAUGUCAAUAAGGCAAGGCUCAGACUAUUCUGGGUUACUGUUCCCCUUAAUAUUAAUAACAACUCAAUAACUUAACAAUAGCAUUAAUAAACAAGUGACUUGGCCGGGCGCAGUGGCUCAUGCCUGUAAUCCCAGCACUUUGGGAGGCCGAGGCGGGAGGAUCGCGAGGUGGGAGUUUGAGACCAGCCUGGCCAACAUAGUGAAACCCAGUCUCUACUAAAAAUACAAAAAAUUAGCCUAGCAUGGUAGCAAGUGCCUGUAAUCCCAGCUACUCGGGAGGCUGAGGCAGGAGAAUGGCUUGAACCCAGCAGGCAGAGGUUGCAGUGAGCCGAGAUCGCGCCAUUGCACUCCAGCCUGGGCGACAGAGCGAGACUCUGUCUCAAAUAAACAAAACAAACAAACAAACAAGUGACUUUUAGGGAGCAUCUCCAGGAGCCAUGCAUGCCGAAGCCGUUAAUCUGUGAAGUGGGUCAGGUAUUAUCAUAUCCAUUUUACAGUAAGAGGAAACUGAAGCUUAGAGAGGGGACAUUGUUUGCUCAGGCAGUUGGCACAAACUGACUUUUGGCAAGGCACUUUCCUUCUCUAAACCUAAUCUCUGGAGAUAGUAGUACCUCUCUUUAACUGGGAGGAUUAAAAGAGAUCAUGGAUGCAACAGGAAGAUAUCACUGGGAUGCAUUAGGCAUAGGUGUUCAAUUUCCACCAGAGACCCUCCAUCCCAGCGCCUCCCACCACAUCUUGUCCACAUUCCCUCCUGAGGAAAGUGCACAUUGUAUUCUUAUUUGGAGCUCAGAGAAUGAGUCACAUCCUCACUUCACAGUCACAUCUUGUGCAGUUGAACAUCUGUGUACUCUAAAACCUAGCAAGUCCAUUCCUAUGGUACAGCCACAGUAAGCUCUUGUGCAAUGCACCAGGAGAGAAUGUAUACAAGAAUGUUACUAGAAACAUUGUUUGUGGUAGCCCCAAACCGAAAACACGGAAAUGCUACUGACAGGAGAUAGAGAAAUGUGGGAUAUUCAUGCAAAGGAAUUAAUUAUAGAGCAGUAGAAAAUGAAUGAAAAAUAGCAACAUGGUUGGAUCAUGGUAAUAUAAUAUUGGAUUGAAAAAAGGCAAAUCUCAGAAGACUACAUAUGGAAUGACAUCCUUUAUAUAUGAUUCAAAAAUAACUAGAACUACUGCAUCUAAGCAUAAUAUUUGGUUGAACCAUAUGAAUUUGCUGUUAUUUGACCUGUUUUGAUCUAAAAGUAAUGGCAGAUUCAUGUGCUUCAGCCUAAUUUUUACGUGAAAAAAAACUAAGAAAAGAGCAAGGCGUUGGGUGCAAUAGCCUGGGCCUGUAAUCCCAGCUACUUGGGAGGCUGAGGCAAGAGAAUCUCUUGAGCCAAGGAGUUCAAGACCAGCCUGGGCAACAUAGCAAGACCCUAUCUCAAAAAAGAAAAGAAAGAAAAGAGCAAGGGAAUGAGAAACACAAAGUUCAGAAUAAUGAAUACCUGGGGGGCUAGGCAUGGUGGCUCAUGCCUAUAAUCCCAGCACUUUGGGAAGCCAAGGAUUUGGGAGGUUUGGUUGAGCCCAGGACUUCAAGACCAGCCUGGGCAACAUAGAAGGACCUGUCUCUAUGGAAGGAAAAAAAAAAAAAAAAAAAGGCUGGUCAUGCAUCUGUGGUCCCAGCUACUUGGGAGGCUGUGGCAGGAGGAUUGCUUGAGCCCAGGAGGUCAAGGCUGCAGUGAACCAUAUUAACACCACUGCCCUGCCCUCCAGCCUGGAACACACCACACACACACACACACACACACACACACACACACACACACACACAAAAUUACCUGGGGGAGGAUGCAGGGAUCCUCCUAUUAAAUCUACCUGUGGGAGAGAAACCCAUAGGUAGAUUUAAUUUUUAGCAAUGUUCUGGUUUUUGUGAAUAGUGGAUUCAGGGGCUUUCAUUUUAUAAUGAAUGAAUGAAAAAAUAGAAGUUUAUGCUCUAAUGCUAAAUAAUUAGAGUUAGUGUCACUUGCAAAGUUCUCAAGAUACGCAAACACAUGAGAGCCUAGGGUCUUAUUUAUUUUAUUUUAUUUUAUUUUAUUUUAUUUUUUUGAGAUGGAGUCUCGCUUUGUCACCAGGCUGGAGUGCAGUGGCACGAUCUCGGCUCGCUGCAACCUCUGCCUCCCGGGUUCAAGCAGUUCUGCCUCAGCCUCCCAAGUAGCUGGGACUGCAGGUGUGCACCACCAUGCCCAGCUAAUUUUUUUAUUUUUAGUAGAGACAGGGUUUCACCAUGUUGGCCAGGAUGGUCUCAAUCUCUUGACCUCAAUGAUCCGCCUGCGUCGACCUCCCAAAGUGCUGGGAUUACAGGCGUGAGCCACUGCGCCUGGCCUAGGUUCUUAUUUAGUUUUUGUUGUUGUUGUUGUUGUUGCUGUUGUUUGAGACAGGGUCUCACUUUGUCACCCAGUCUGAAGUGCAGAGAUGUGAUCUUGGCUCACAGUAGCCUCCGCCUCCUGGGUUCAAGGAAUCCUCCCACCUCAGCCUCCCGAGUAGCUGGGAGUAUUAAGUAUUAUUUAGUUUUCUCCCCAUUUAUUUAUUCAUUCUUUUUUUAAAAAGAAAAAAUUAAGGUAUAAUUUACCUAUAGUAAAAUUCACCCUUUUUAGUGUACAGUUUUGUGAGUUUUGAAAAAUGCAUACAAUGGCACAACUGCCACAGCAAUCAAGAUAUAGAUCAGUUCCAUCACCUCCCAGAAAUUCCCCUGAACCCCUCUGUGGUCAGUUCCUCCCCUUGACUCCAGCCCUUAACAACCACUGAUCUUUCUUCUGUUUCCAUAGUUUUGCUUUUUCCAGAACUUUAGCUGUAGAAGUGCAGAAUUGCUCUACAAAAUUCUAAUUCUGUGGUACCUAAAAUGCUGUAGAUUAAUAAGAAUAUGAUGACUGAAGCAGCUCAGAGCUACUUUCCUUGCCUAGAAAGAAUAAAGGAAGAAAGGAAGGAAGGAAGGAAGGAAGGAAAUAAAUAAAU